CGUGGUUCAGAACCCUCGAGCCCCCCCUCGAGGAUUUGGCCGCCCGACUCGUCAAGACGCCGCCGCCCGAGACGCCGCCGCUGCCCGACGCCUCGACGCCGGCGAUCUCGUCCGGCAUACUGGACUUCUCCCCUGCGGGACCUGAUCUCGCGGAAGACGGGCGACCAUGCUUUGCUGCCACAAGUCUCCUCCACUCUGUGCAGCCCGCAAACAUGCUUGGAGCAUUCGCCGAUCAAACGUGUGUUUAUGUUGUGAUAAGCCGUUGACUUUCGUUGACCAAACAUCUUGUAUUUUUCAUUUGGACCGUGGCAUGUGGCAUGUGUCAUGUUUUUCAUUUGGACCGUGGAAUGUAUGCAUGUACCAUUUUCAUUAGAACCAUCUUGUAUUUACUUUUGCUUCCAGAUCUGAAAUAGGAGGUAUACCCAACUGUUUUUGGGUAUUCUAUGAA